GACGAACGCUGGCGGCGUGCUUAACACAUGCAAGUCGAGCGGAGCGGCGAACGGGUGAGUAAAGCGUGAGUAACUGCCCCCCUCUCUGGGAUAACAGUUGGAAACGGCUGCUAAUACCGGAUAGUGGGGGAUGACUGGGGUCCAAUCAGCUUGUGGGUGGGGUAGGGGCCUACCAAGGCGACGACGGGUAGCCGGCCUGAGAGGGCGACCGGCCACAUUGGGCUGAGGUACGGCCCAAACGCCUACGGGAGGCAGCGGUGGGGAAUAUUGCGCAGUGGGGGAAGGCCUGAGGCGGCAACGGCGGGUGCGGGAGGACGGCCGUCGGGUUGUAAACCGCUUUCAGCCAUGACGCGGUAGUGGCAGAAGAAGCACCGGCUAACUACGUGCCAGCCGCCGCGGUAAUUC
rnacentral:rRNA from 1 species